rnacentral:rRNA from 1 species
GUCUGUGUGAAGUUGUACAGAGUCUAACCUGCCCAUUGAAAUUAAUUUGAAAGGCCGCGGUAUAUUAACUGUGCAAAGGUAGCAUAAUCAUUAGUUUUUUAAUUGAAGGCUUGUAUGAAGGGUUGGACAAAGAAAAAUCUGUCUUUAUUUUUAUCUUUGAAUUUUACUUUUAGGUGAAAAGGCUUAAGUGAGUUUAAGGGACGAUAAGACCCUAUAAAUCUUUAUAUUAUUUUAUUUUUUGAGAGGUAAUUUUGUUAGAAAAUAUUUCAUAAAAAUAAAUCAUAUUUUGUUGGGGCGAUGAGAAUAUAAAAUUAACUGUUCUUAAUUAAACACAGAGUUAUUUGUUAUAAAUUUAUUGAUCCUUCAUAGAGAAAAAAAGUUUAAGUUACUUUAGGGAUAACAGCGUUAUUUUUUUUGAGAGUUCUUAUCGAAAAAAAAGUUUGCGACCUCGAUGUUGAAUUAAAAUUUCUCUGUGGUUGUAGUUGCUACAGAAAGAGAGUCUGUUCGACUUUUAAAGUUUU